AGUGAACGCUGGCGGUAGGCCUAACACAUGCAAGUCGAACGGCAGCACAGUAAGAGCUUGCUCUUACGGGUGGCGAGUGGCGGACGGGUGAGGAAUACAUCGGAAUUUACUUUUUCGCGGGGGAUAACGUAGGGAAACUUACGCUAAUAUCGCAUACGACCUACGGGUGAAAGCAGGGGAUCUUCGGACCUUGCGCGAUUGUAUGAGCCGAUGUCGGAUUAGCUAGUUGGCGGGGUAAAGGCCCACCAAGGCGAUGAUCCGUAGCUGGUCUGAGAGGAUGAUCAGCCACACUGGAACUGAGACACGGUCCAGACUCCGACGGGAGGCAGCAGUGGGGAAUAUUGGACAAUGGGCGCAAGCCUGAUCCAGCCAUACCGCGUGGGUGAAGAAGGCCUUCGGGUUGUAAAGCCCUUUUGUUGGGAAAGAAAAGCAGCAGGUUAAUACCCCGCUGUUCUGACGGUACCCAAAGAAUAAGCACCGGCUAACUUCGUG
rnacentral:rRNA from 1 species